rnacentral:SRP_RNA from 1 species
GCCGGGCGCCGUGGCGCGUGCCUGUAGUCCCAGCUACUCGGGAGGCUGAGGUGGUAGGAUCGCUUGAGCCCAGGAGUUCUGGGCUGUAGUGCGCUAUGCUGAUUGGGUGUCCGCACUAAGUUCAGCAUCAAUAUGGUGACCUCCCGGGAGCGGAGGACCACCAGGUUGCCUAAGGAGGGGUGAACCGGCCCAGGUCGGAAACGGAGCAGGUCAGAACACCCGUGCUGAUCAGUAGUGAGAUCACUCCUGUGAAUAGCCACUGCACUCCAGCCUGGGCAACAUAGCGAGACCCUGUCUCU